rnacentral:rRNA from 1 species
UACAGGGGGUGCAAACGUUGCUCGGAAUUAUUGGGCGUAAAGGGCGCGUAGGCGGCUAGAUGUGUCAAAGGUGAAAUCCCUCGGCUCAACUGAGGAACUGCCUUUGAAACUGUCUGGCUUGAGGCCGGGAGAGGGUAGCGGAAUUCCCAGUGUAGCGGUGAAAUGCGUAGAUAUUGGGAGGAACACCAGUGGCGAAGGCGGCUACCUGGACCGGUUCUGACGCUGAGGCGCGAAAGCGUGGGUAGCAAACAGG